CUCUGAUUUAAAGUAAUACAUGAUGAUGGUGGUAAAUUAAUAGAAUAGUGCAUUAGAACUGAAAUAAUUCACAUCAUGCAUUCAGAUUUGGUACCAUGACUUUACAUUUAUUAUAUUUUUCACUUGUGCAUACACUUAAAAUAACAUAUGGUAAUAAAAAAAAAAAAAAACUUAUCAAAAUCCUUCCAUGUAGUUUAUUUUUUUUAUUUUUUUUACCUUCCAAGUCAGCUGCAUGUGUGAAAAUAUAUUACUACAUAAAAAGAUCAAUAAGAAAAUACAGAAUACAAUAUAUUAAAGUCAUAGACGUGUCCUACUGUCAAAAACAGAAAUAACUUGUUGCUAAAGGUAAGUAAAAUAAACGGCACAGCUUAAAGUAACUGAUUGAGUACAUGGUCACGUCUUUGGUUAUAAACAGCUUCUUGAGAUCGUUAAAUCAUUACGCAAAUAAUGAAAGUGGAAACGUUCACCUGUCCAAUCAGUUUAAAGACUGGUUACAUUCCAAUAUAAUGUUCUACUACACAAUAUAGUAGGCAAUGAUACAGCAUGAUGCGUGACGGUCAGUUGACAAAGCUAUGUGUUGUAUAUGAUGUGGAUGGUUAUGAACCACUGUCUGCCUUAUUUUAUAUUCAAUUUAUGAACAGUGCAUGAAAUACACAACAAAUGGGGACAAAAUAAAGUUCCUUGCUACUCUAAAGGUAACCAAAUUCUCUCUGGGUAAUUAAUUAUCACAUGACCAUCAGCCUUCCAUUAUGACAUCAUACUACAUGACAUUUAAAUCUUCCUAAUACUGGAACUCCAGCAGCGCACAACAGCUGCUCAGCAUCAUGACUACGCCAUGUCUGGUCCUCCAUCUGUUUCUCCAUCUCAAACGCUCAGUAACUUUCCCUAGCAUUCGCAGACACCGGGCCAGAAUCAGAAACUAUGGAAACUUGUUCCACCAAAGCAUUAAAAACAAAGGUAGAGUUUUUCACACAGUUUGGACUUUUUCUCUCAAUUCUGAGAAAUAAAGUCAGAAUCGCAAGAUGUUAACUCAGUAUAGUGAGACAUAAAAGUCAGAAUUAUAAGAAAGAAACUCAAACUUGUGAGAUGGAAACAAAAUUACGUGAAAAUGACAGAAUUACAAGAUAGAAACAGAAUUAUAUAAACAAUUACAAGAAAAAAGUCAGAAUUUACAAGAUAUAACUUCAAAAUUGUGAGAUAUAAA
ensembl:lncRNA